UGCCAGGUAUUACUACUUUUUGGAGACUGA
rnacentral:piRNA from 1 species